AUUGAACGCUGGCGGCAUGCUUCACACAUGCAAGUCGAACGUGUGGCGGACGGGUGAGUAAUGCUUGGGACUCUAGCUUAUGGAGGGGGAUAACUACGGGAAACUGUAGCUAAUCCCUCGUACCAUAGGAUGAGCCCAAGUGUGCUUAGUUAGUGGGUGAGGUAAAGGCUCACCAAGCCGACGAUCUCUAGCUGGUCUUAGAGGAUGACCAGCCACACUGGGACUGAGACACGGCCCAGACUCCUACGGGAGGCAGCAGUGGGGAAUAUUGCGCAAUGGGGGCAACCUGACGCAGCCAGGCCGCGUGAAUGAAGAAGGCCUUCGGGUUGUAAAGUUCUUUCGGUAGCGAGGCGUUAACUACAGAAGAAGCACCGGCUAACUCCGUGCCAGCAGCCGCGGUAAUUC
rnacentral:rRNA from 1 species